rnacentral:rRNA from 1 species
AUUGAACGCUGGCGGCGGGCCUAACACAUGCAAGUCGAACGAGUGGCGGACGGGUGAGUAAUGUCUGGGAAACUGCCUGAUGGGGGGGGAUAACUACUGGAAAGGGUAGCUAAUACCGCAUACCAUCAGAUGUGCCCAGAUGUGAUUAGCUUGUUGUGGGGGUAACGGCUCACAAAGGCGACGAUCACGAGCGGGUCUGAGAGGAUGACCGGCCACACUGGACCUGAGCCACGUUCCAGACUCCUACGGGAGGCAGCAGUGGGAAUCAUUGCACAAUGGGCGCAAGCCUGAUGAAGCCAUGCGGCGUGUAUGAAGAAGGCCUUCGGGUUGUAAGGUACUUUCAGCGGGGAGGCGUUAACCGCAGAAGAAGCACCGGCUAACUCCGUGCCAGCAGCCGCGGUAAUAC